GAAGUAAAAGUCGUAACAAGGUCUCCGUUGGUGAACCAGCGGAGGGAUCAUUACCGA
rnacentral:rRNA from 1 species